UACGUAAGGUGCAAGCGUUAAUCGGAAUUACUGGGCGUAAAGCGUGCGCAGGCGGUUCGCCAAGUCAGGUGUGAAAUCCCCGGGCUUAACCUGGGAAUUGCGCUUGAAACUAGCGGGCUUGAGUGUGGGCAGAGGGGGGGUGGAAUUCCACGUGUAGCAGUGAAAUGCGUAGAGAUGUGGAGGAACACCAGUGGCGAAGGCGGCUCACUGGCCCGAUACUGACGCUGAGGCACGAAAGCGUGGGGAGCAAACAGG
rnacentral:rRNA from 1 species